rnacentral:rRNA from 1 species
UCGAGAAUCUUCCGCAAUGGGCGAAAGCCUGACGGAGCGACACCGCGUGCAGGACGAAGGCCUUCGGGUUGUAAACUGCUGUCACGCUCUAGGAAUGCCAUGCUGUUAAUAGCGGCAUGGUUGACCAAGGCGAGAGGAAGUGGCGGCUAACUCUGUGCCAGCAGCCGCGGUAAGACAGAGGCCACGAACGUUGUUCGGAAUUACUGGGCAUAAAGCGCGCGUAGGCGGCUGGGUCCGUCCGAUGUGAAAGCCCCCGGCUCAACCGGGGAAGUGCAUCGGAUACAGCCCGGCUUGAGGACGGUUGGGGUGAGUGGAACUCCUGGUGGAGCGGUGAAAUGCGUAGAUAUCAGGAGGAACACCGGUGGCGAAAGCGGCUCACUGGACCGUUACUGACGCUGAGGUGCGAAAGCUAGGGGAGCAAACGGGAUUAGAUACCCCAGUAGUCCCUGAGCGGGCUGGCAAGGCGCAU